rnacentral:rRNA from 1 species
UGGGGAAUAUUGGACAAUGGGGGCAACCCUGAUCCAGCAAUGCCGCGUGAAGGAUGAAGUAUUUCGGUAUGUAAACUUCGAAAGAAUAGGAAGAAUAAAUGACGGUACUAUUUAUAAGGUCCGGCUAACUACGUGCCAGCAGCCGCGGUAAUACGUAGGGACCAAGCGUUGUUCGGAUUUACUGGGCGUAAAGGGCGCGUAGGCGGCAAUUCAAGUCAUCUGUGAAAUCUCCGGGCUUAACUCGGAACGGUCAGAUGAUACUGCUUUGCUAGAGUGCAGAAGGGGCAAUCGGAAUUCUUGGUGUAGCGGUGAAAUGCGUAGAUAUCAAGAGGAACACCUGAGGUGAAGACGGGUUGCUGGGCUGACACUGACGCUGAGGCGCGAAAGCCAGGGGAGCAAACGGGAUUAGAUACCCCAGUAGUCCCUGAGCGGGCUGGCAAGGCGCAU